UGACUCAUACCUGAAGAUAUUUUGACCCCUGUAGUCUUGGGGCAAAAACUAAGGUCCUGUAUCUUCAACUUGUAGGAUGGUCACGGAAUAUCACAACUUGCAUGCACAUUGUAUGAAGCCCUCAAGUGCUACAAAGAGUGCCAAAAUAUAGCCCAGCUAAAACUGUGGUCAAACUAUGGCUGUUGUACACAAACUCAAAUAAAAGUAAGGAUUAUCAGCCUUCCACAUUAACAGAACCCACUGUUGAGGUUCUGAAUCGCACACCAAGAGGCAAUCAAGUUGGAAUUGUGAAUCUCAUGCAUCAAUCCAAUCGACAGAUGAGAUGAUAACACCAAGUCCAGGAUUUAGAACACCUGGGGGCUCUGACUCCCCUAUCAAAACAGUCUGUUGGUGAUAUUUGGGCUCUUGUGCAUUGAUUUAGUCCACUGUUGUGACUGACUUCCAUACUUGAACUCAACCCACAAGAGGUGUUGACUCUUAUACCUUUAGCAGGAAAAUGUCCAGGAUUGUAAAUGUCUGCUAUUGACUGGGUCCAGGUAUGAGUUUUAUUGCUGUUUCUGUGAGCUGGGUUCAAAAAUGAGUCACUGUCUCACCUGUAGCUGUAUCUAUAUAUGACAGUCACAAUUCCAAGUCUGGAUUGCAUUUGCAUGUGAGAUUUAGGACCUCACCAGUGAGAACUAGCUAUGUGUGAGGGUGACAAUUCUAUCAGAUGGAUGUGCAUAUGAGAGUCACAAUCUCAUCUUUGUUCUGGGUCCUGUUAUGACACUGUAUCAUUUGAGGGCUUUAUACAAUAUACCUUGGUAUCAUAAUACACUAUGACCUUUAUUUAAGUAGGAGACCCAGGACCUUAUCUGUUGCCCUAAGCCUAGAUAUCAGAGUCAAAAUCUGUUCUCUUAGCUGGAUCCAGGUAUGAGAGUCAUCAUCUCACCUGUGAGCUGCGACCAUGUAUAUGUCGCAAUUUCACCUGUCAGCAGGAACCAGACAUGAGAGUCCUAUCACCUGGGUGCUGGCAUCUUGAAAUUUUAACAUCGAUGUAAAACAACUUUUGAAAGAUUUAUGAAACAAGUUUCAAGGUUCACCUUCAGGCUGGUUUGGUUAAGUGGAAAAAUGGCAGCAGCCUCAAGGUUCACACUGAAAGAAAAUGCUGUUAUGUGCAUGUCAACCCAUGUAAAAAAUACCUGUAUGCAAGAUGGCACGAAGACUUGUGCAGUUGGAAUCACCAGUGCAAAUGCAUGCAUUUGAGAGUUUCGCCCUUGCCCAGGCUGGAGUGCAGUGGCACGAUCUCGGCUUACUACAACGUCUGCCGCCCGGAUUCAAGCGAUUCUCCUGACUUGCCCUCCCAAGUAGCUGGAAAUACAGCCACGUGCCACCACGCCCCCCAGCUAAUUUUUUUUUGUAUUUUUAGUAGACACAGUGUUUCCCCAUGUUGGCCAGGCUAGUCUUGAACGACUGACCUCAGGUGAUCCACCCACCUCAGCCUCCCAAAGUGUUGAGAUUACAGGCGUGAGCAACCACACCUGGCCAGAGCUUACUUUAUAAUAAACCCACUUUCCUGCCAACU